UACGAAGGGGGCUAGCGUUGUUCGGAAUUACUGGGCGUAAAGCGCACGUAGGCGGACUUGUAAGUUGGGGGUGAAAUCCCGGGGCUCAACCCCGGAAUUGCCUUCAAGACUGCAAGUCUGGAGGUCAGGAGAGGCGAGCGGAAUUCCGAGUGUAGAGGUGAAAUUCGUAGAGAUUCGGAGGAACACCAGUGGCGAAGGCGGCUCGCUGGACUGAUACUGACGAUGAGGUGCGAAAGAGUGGGGAGCAAACAGG
rnacentral:rRNA from 1 species